rnacentral:rRNA from 1 species
GCCAGAGCAUCCUACGGGAGGCAGCAGUGGGGAAUAUUGCACAAUGGGCGCAAGCCUGAUGCAGCCAUGCCGCGUGUAUGAAGAAGGCCUUCGGGUUGUAAAGUACUUUCAGCAGUGAGGAAGGUGGGUAUGUUAAUAGCAUAUUCAUUUGACGUUAGCUGCAGAAGAAGCACCGGCUAACUCCGUGCCAGCAGCCGCGGUAAUACGGAGGGUGCGAGCGUUAAUCGGAAUUACUGGGCGUAAAGCGCAUGCAGGUGGUUUGUUAAGUCAGAUGUGAAAGCCCGGGGCUCAACCUCGGAAUUGCAUUUGAAACUGGCAAACUAGAGUACUGUAGAGGGGGUAGAAUUUCAGGUGUAGCGGUGAAAUGCGUAGAGAUCUGAAGGAAUACCGGUGGCGAAGGCGGCCCCCUGGACAGAUACUGACACUCAGAUGCGAAAGCGUGGGGAGCAAACAGGAUUAGAUACCCUGGUAG